rnacentral:rRNA from 1 species
CCCUUAGAUGUUCUGGGCCGCACGCGCGCUACACUGACAGGGCCAACGAGUUCAUCACCUUGGCCGGAAGGUCUGGGUAAUCUUGUUAAACCCUGUCGUGCUGGGGAUAGAGCAUUGCAAUUAUUGCUCUUCAACGAGGAAUGCCUAGUAAGCGCAUGUCAUCAGCAUGCGUUGAUUACGUCCCUGCCCUUUGUACACACCGCCCGUCGCUACUACCGAUUGAAUGGCUCAGUGAGGCCUUCGGACUGACCCAGGGAGGUCGGCAACGACCACCCAGGGCCGGAAAGUUGGUCAAACUCGGUCAUUUAGAGGAAGUAAAAGUCGUAACA